rnacentral:lncRNA from 1 species
GAAAUUUGAAUUAAAUGUUGUAUAUGGUACAAGACUUUACGUGCACAUGUAGUUUGGAAUAUUCCAAAUUCCAAAUUAUAUAUGCACGUAAGUCUUUACACUCACACUUUGUGCAUGCAGUUGCUUAUUCAUUUAGAAUCUCAAUGAAAUUGUUAGUCAUCUCUUAAUCUUUUUCUUGUAAUUAAUAUUUUUUAAGCUAACUUAUUAGUAAUUACUGACCGCAGAGUACAGCGUGUCAUAAACGUAAUUAAAUGUGAAAAAAAUUAAAUGUUGCGAUUUUAUAUACAAAAUCAUGCAAAAACAAUCCGAACGACAUUAUGCGCUCUGCCUAGUUUUCCGUCAAUUUCCUAGUAGAAAGGAGAAAAGGAUAAGAGAAGUAUGCCUUGUGGUCAACGAUAAUACAUUUCUUGGUAAGUAAUUACCCUUGCAAACGUACACGCAUAUGCAUUCUUCCAAUCAAAUAGCUUAAAUAAUGUCGAUGCAUCAUCAUUAAGGAAAAAAUUCAGUUGCAGAAAUUGACGUUAAAAAAAGCAAUUGAAAGGUCGGUUUAGAAAAACAAUUGACAGUUUCAAUGAAAAAGCCAAAGGCCGAUUUGAGUUAAAAAAUUUCGUUGGCAACACAUAACUUAAGACAAAUUCUUUGCUCAACAAAUUUAUUCAUUAUCAAAAUUGCAAAACACUCUUGAGUUCGAUUAACGUUAACAGUUGCUGUAAAUAAAUUGAUUGACAGAUUGCAAACCAACUCUAUGUAGCAAUUAGGUACAAUGCUGACAGCUUACACAUAAAAAAUUUUUUCGAUAUCUUCAUCACGAGACUUUUAAAUGACAAAUUCCAGAAAAAUGCGGAAAAGUUGCGGAAAAAAUUAAAGCAUGAAGCGACAGGAGUUUACCUACGUCAAAUAGUACGAGUGUAAAAGCGUACCGAUACCCUCGUCCCAAUAAAAGUAUUCUUUAACAGUCAGGCAAUCGAGGGUGCUUGUCCCUUUUUUUGUGCUACGCUUUAUGCGACAGUCCAUUAGUCUCUGUUUUGAUGCUUGGGAGAAUGUCAUAGUCAUCGUUCGAAACUUUGAGAAAGACUCGUGCAAUCUGCAAGAGCCACAUUUGACGCGCGUGCAUCAGCUGGGACGAUUAAUGUAAAAAAAUAUACAUACAUUUUCAAUACACAGGCUCACACAAUCGUGUCAAAAACUUCUUUGGGAAUUUUCAGUUCAAAAAAGGUAUAGAUCCUGUAAAUAUAUAUAAAUCUUUAAACAUGAACUCUUCCACACACGUGCCAAACAUUUUGACAUCAAUGCGAAAAUAAUGCGAAAUAUCGUAUCCUCCUAAUGUGAAAAAAAUUCUCAUAAUAUUUUUAAGAAAAUUGUUUUAUUCAUGAAGAUUUCUGAAGAAAUACCAUGAAUUUUGUCAGAUAAGAUUUUCUUCUUUAUAAAGUGUAGAAACUAUAGAAUAAAAAAAUUCUAAAAAUAUAGAUAUUUCAGAGUUUUCAUCUACGAUAACAGAACUAAAUAAGAUUCACUUAUUUAUUUUUAAAUUAAAAAGUAAAAUUAAGUGGGCCAUAUUCAGCCCAGAUAUAUCUUCUAUCAUUUUAUGUAAAAAAUUUCUAGAAAAGAUAUAGAUAUCUUCAGUCCUUCGGAAAAGUCUUUCAAUUUAUAUAUACAUAUAUUAUAGAAGAAAACUGACUUUUUUAAAGACUUACAAGAUUAUAUAGAAAUAGAUUUUGAAAAAUGCUAAAAAUUUUCCAUAUAAUAGUUGAAAAAUUAUGUGAAAAAAUUUAAAAAAUUUAUCAGAGACAAAAUUUAAUAAUCUCUUAAUAAAACUUUGCCAUUCAACAUAUUACAUUUUAAUGGUAAGGUACGGUAUAAAAAUCGAUGUUUUAGAAUCACGUUACUUUCAUACACGUAUAUUCCUGAUUACGUCCGAAACAACGUAGCGUACGUAUUUUAAAAUCUUCGCGGGCGCGCGGCCGGAACAAUAACCAGUCAAAUUCCGAGUAGAAGGUCUUUCGUUCCUUUUGGUACUAAUAUCUUUUUAUUGAACAAGCGUGAUAGCAACGGUUGCGCCGUGCAAUUUGUGUUGUCUCGGAUAUAUGUAUCGUUUGCUCGUAUCGCGCGCCGGCAAAGCUGAUGUGUCGGCGACAUAGUAACUAACAGUGCAAUUGCAAUUCACGCGCGCGGCGGAGGGGAAAAGUCGCUUUCCCGUCGGCCGCUACGUGAAAUUGUUCGGCCACGAUCAUGGCGAUCCAGAUAAGGCAUCGUGCCAGUAUCAAUUACAGGGGCGAGCAGCGGCGACGACGGGGGUGUAUAAUGACUGGUCCGGAUAAUACUUUAAGUCAUACUCGAGAACGAGCGAGCGAGCCAAACGUCGCCGCCCUUCUCCGAUCAUUACCGCUCUGUUUCUCUCGGCGGCACGCCUAAUUACUAAUUAUUACGGCGUAAUUGUGCAGCAUUACGGCUCGCGUUACCACUGGCGUUGCUGCGUAAUCUGCAUGCAAGGGCGGACUACAUUAUUCGCGCUUACACUUCGUAGCCGCGCUUUAGCGACGCUUUAUGACUGCAUGGGUCUUGGCUUCGAAUGUUAACUCGCGAUUUAAGUCCACCGGUUUCUUUCGCUGUACGAUCGUCGAUUUUUGACGGCAAAACACAAUGCAAGAUUUCGAUAGGGAUUAAGAUAAUUGCAGUAUACUGAGUAUAUUUCUUUCAUUGCAAUAAAUAUCGAUUGCGUUAAAAAUUAAUUGAAUCGUUGACUAUUAUUGCAAAAUUCUAUUUUAUUAUUCACUUUUAGUAACUUUUUAAUAACUUCGAUUUAAUUUAACAGGAGAUAUCUCCAAAGAGGCAAAAAGAGACAAUUUAAUUUUAAACAAGAUUGAAUAAUUAACGAAAUUUUACUCUCUCAAUUUUUUCGUUGCACCCAUUUAUUAUAAUAAAACUUAUGCGGCAUAUGUACGUUUUUGCUGUGACAUAAUAAUCGCGGAGAAAAAUAAAUGUCACCUUUUGCAAUUUGCAUCGCGAGUCCAACCCGCGCGAGUUUUUCUAAUAACUUAAACGUCGAUAAAGGCAAGGCUUUCCUUUUAUGACGAAUGUGUAACUAGUUGCAAAUGCGGCCGAUUAGUAUCACUGGCGAACGAGCAAGCGGGCGUUUCAAUUAGCGAUUUCUUGCGAAAUCGCGCCGCAUUACCGUUAUAAUUUUGCAGCCACCGAAGUUAGCCUAAUCUCUGUACGUGGGCGGAUUACAUUAUUCGCGCUUACAUUUCUGACUCACACGCCGUGAUUUGUACAACGAUACGAUAAAGAUAAAGAAAGUGUGUGUUUCGAGAUUGUGACAUAAUAGUUUCUUUUUUUUCAUAUCCGCGCAGAACAUGCGCGAUUAAUUUUUUUCUUUAUUUAUUAAUUUUCUAUUUUAUGCUUUUUAUAUACGACAUUCCAGCAUAAUAAAAAUAUUUUAUAUUUGUAUCAAAAUCAAACCUUGUGAAAAUUUAGGCGUUAAAUUUUUUAAAUACUCGAGUAUUAAUUUGAUAUAAAAAAUGUUACAUUUUUAUUUUCAUUUUGCAUAAUAUGAGUUCGUGUUUAUUACCGUCUAAUAUAGCUUGUAUUAAAUUUAAUACAAAAAAUUUUUACUGUGUGUAAAAUCUCUCUUUAAAGAGAUAUACAAACGUUAAUAAUCAUAAUUUAUUAAUAAUCUUAAUAUUAAAAGUUAUAAUUAUAAUAACAAAGAAGCGAGUUAAUUCAUAUAAGUAAAAAUGUAUUUAAAAAUAAUAUGUAGUAUCGUGUGCCCAUGUGCUCCCUCCCCCAAAAAAUAAAA